ACCACUAUCAUUCUAACCGCACA
rnacentral:miRNA from 1 species